UCCUGGCUCAGGACGAACGCUGGCGGCGUGCCUAACACAUGCAAGUCGAACGGAGUGAUUUGGAUUCGUCUGGAUCACUUAGUGGCGGACGGGUGAGUAACGCGUGAGCAACCUGCCCUUCAGAGGGGGACAACAGUUGGAAACGACUGCUAAUACCGCAUAACAUAUAUUUGGGGCAUCUCAGAUAUAUCAAAGAUUUUAUCGCUGAGGGAUGGGCUCGCGUCUGAUUAGAUAGUUGGUGGGGUAACGGCCUACCCAAGUCGACGAUCAGUAGCCGGACUGAGAGGUUGAACGGCCACAUUGGGACUGAGAUACGGCCCAGACUCCUACGGGAGGCAGCAGUGGGGAAUAUUGGGCAAUGGGGGCAACCCUGACCCAGCAACGCCGCGUGAAGGAAGAAGGCUUUCGGGUUGUAAACUUCUUUUAUGUGGGACGAUAGUGACGGUACCACAUGAAUAAGCCACGGCUAACUACGUGCCAGCAGCCGC
rnacentral:rRNA from 1 species